GAUGCCCUGCGGGGUGCGUGAUGAGUCUUUUUUUAACCCACAUUUCGUUAUUCGGGAUGCUGGUUCAGCGUCUGGUUUGCAGGCCUCCCGGCUGCUUUCUGCGGUUGGAAGUUGGAAGUAGUAAAGGACGCUGCAGGCGACCCACCUGCUUUCUAUGUGCAGGUUAUAGCGGGCUCACACGGCUUCUGCGGGGCGUCC
rnacentral:other from 1 species